rnacentral:rRNA from 1 species
AGGACGAACGCUGGCGGCGUGCUUAACACAUGCAAGUCGAGCGGAAAGGCCCUUCGGGGUACUCGAGCGGCGAACGGGUGAGUAACACGUGAGUAAUCUGCCCCUAGCUCUGGGAUAGCUCCGGGAAACCGGGAUUAAUACCGGAUACGACCACCUUAGACAUCUUUUGUGGUGGAAAGAAUUUCGGCUAGGGAUGAGCUCGCGGCCUAUCAGCUUGUUGGUGGGGUAACGGCCUACCAAGGCGACGACGGGUAGCCGGCCUGAGAGGGUGACCGGCCACACUGGGACUGAGACACGGCCCAGACUCCUACGGGAGGCAGCAGUGGGGAAUAUUGCGCAAUGGGCGAAAGCCUGACGCAGCGACGCCGCGUGGGGAUGAAGGCCUUCGGGUUGUAAACCCCUUUCAGCAGGGACGAAGCGAAAGUGACGGUACCUGCAGAAGAAGCGCCGGCUAACUACGUGCCAGCAGCCGC